rnacentral:rRNA from 1 species
AAACCAACCGGGAUUGCCUCAGUAACGGCGAGUGAAGCGGCAAAAGCUCAAAUUUGAAAUCUGGCACUUUCAGUGUCCGAGUUGUAAUUUGUAGAAGUAGUUUUGGGACUGGUCCUUAUCUAUGUUUCUUGGAACAGGACGUCAUAGAGGGUGAGAACCCCGUAUGAUGAGGCCCCCAGUCCUUUGUAAAACGCUUUCGAAGAGUCGAGUUGUUUGGGAAUGCAGCUCUAAGUGGGUGGUAAAUUCCAUCUAAAGCUAAAUAUUGGCGAGAGACCGAUAGCGAACAAGUACAGUGAUGGAAAGAUGAAAAGAACUUUGAAAAGAGAGUGAAAAAGUACGUGAAAUUGUUGAAAGGGAAGGGCAUUUGAUCAGACAUGGUGUUUUUGCAUGCACUCGCCUCUCGUGGGCUUGGGCCUCUCAAAAAUUUCACUGGGCCAACAUCAAUUCUGGCAGCAGGAUAAAUCAUUAAGAAUGUAGCUACUUCGGUAGUGUUAUAGCUUUUUGGAAUACUGUUA